UUUCUAAUCUUAUGCUCUAAUAAACUUUUGCCUGUUGUUUAUCCUGUGUCCACCUCUUCAUUCUUCAAAGCAGCAAAACAACGAAUCCCAGAUCCCACCAGGGACUCUAAAAACACUGAGCACUCUGAGAUCAGAAUUUAUAGAUGAGAACCUCAAGGCUCAAAGAGAUUAAAGUGCCCCAAACAUUGGACAACCUGGGAUGAGAACCUCUAAAACUCUACUAGUUCCCCAAAUUCUUGAAUCAUCUAUUACAGUUACACCUGCUUCUGGAACAUUCUAGGAGUAAUUCAAAUUAGUUCAUUAUUGGAUUCAUUAUUGAGCAUCUGCAGUGUGUGGGCAUAAUGCCAGGAGCUGAAGACACCAAGAUGAAUAAGUCAACGCCCAACCUGUCAGGUCCACCAGACCAAGGGCAAUUUGAAGACACAAGCAGUGGGAAACCAGGCCAAUAUGCUCUGCAAUCUCAAGUGAAAGGAGAUCGAACUAAGGAGGCAGGCAGGCACCAUGAAAUAAACAAGAAGAGGAUCAGCCCCAGGGUCUGGCCAGGACACUCAGAUGUAACUUCUCAAUGACGUGUUGGCUAUGUCCCUCAAGCAUUCUGGAAGCUCCUGGAGGGUAGAAGCUCUGCAUGUGACUUCUGUCUUUCCAACCUCUGCCCCUCUGCCACAUCUAACCAUCCAGCCAAUCUGGUUGACUCUUCUGCCUCCAAAUACAGCUGACCCUCAAACAACAUGGGUUUGAGCUGCACAUGUCCACUUAUACAUGGAUUGCUUUUAAUGAAUACAGUACUAUAAAUG